UACAGAGGUCUCAAGCGUUGUUCGGAUUCAUUGGGCGUAAAGGGUGCGUAGGCGGCGCGGUAAGUCGGGUGUGAAAUCUUGGAGCUUAACUCCGAAACUGCAUUCGAUACUGCCGUGCUUGAGGACUGGAGAGGAGACUGGAAUUUACGGUGUAGCGGUGAAAUGCGUAGAUAUCGUAAGGAACACCAGUAGCGAAGGCAGCCCCCUGGGUCAAGACUGACGCUCAUGCACGAAAGCGUGGGGAGCAAACAGG
rnacentral:rRNA from 1 species